GACGAACGCUGGCGGCGUGCCUAAUACAUGCAAGUCGAGCGGAUGAAAGAGGAGCUUGCUCCUCUAGAUUCAGCGGCGGACGGGUGAGUAACACGUGGGCAACCUGCCCUGUAGAUUGGGAUAACUCCGGGAGACCGGGGCUAAUACCGAAUAAUCCUUCGGACCUCGUGGUCCGAUGUUGAAAGACGGUUUCGGCUGUCACUACAGGAUGGGCCCGCGGCGCAGUAGCUAGUUGGUGAGGUAACGGCUCACCAAGGCCACGAUGCGUAGCCGAACUGAGGGGGUGAUCGGCCACACUGGGACUGAGACACGGCCCAGACUCCUACGGGAGGCAGCAGUAGGGAAUCGUCCACAAUGGACGAAAGUCUGAUGGAGCAACGCCGCGUGAGUGAAGAAGGUUCUCGGAUCGUAAAACUCUGUUGUGAGGGAAGAACAAGUACCGGAGUAACUGCCGGUGCCUUGACGGUACCUCAUUAGAAAGCCACGGCUAACUACGUGCCAGCCGCCGCAGUAA
rnacentral:rRNA from 1 species